UGCUUUCUGGGCCCUCUGUGGCCAGAGCUGGCCCCGCUGCAGCUCACUUCUGCCUGCAGCCCAGACAUCCUCCUGGUCCUCCUGACGCCCCGGCCUCCACGGAGGACGAGCGUCUCCAGCCCACCCCUCCCAAUCUCCACCUCCCGCCCCCCUGACACACUGGGAGCCUCCUGAUCCGUGAAUCCGCGCUGCCGGGAGUAGCUACUGACUGCUGCCCGGGCUGUUCUCACGUGGAAAGGAUUCGGGGAGCGGGUGAUGCUUAGCUCAAAGCAUGGAGACCAGCGCUGCCCUCUCCCCAGCGACAGGUGCACACCCAGAUCACGGAUGUGUCGGGAACAGCUGUGACUCCUGCUGCUCAGCGUCUGUCACUCCAGGCUGGGAGCGGGUCCCCAAGCUUCUGGCUGGGCCCAUCCGUCUCCCCUCUCAGUGGCGGGUGGGGGGAGCGCCAACAGCACGCAUUUGCUAUCCUCACUUCUCAUCUGACAGUGGGCAGAGGGUCCUUCUGCAGCCCUGAAACAUCCCCAGGCAGGGACCCUGGGGCUCCAAGCAGCCAGGGAGAGGCUGCCAAGACCUGUGUCCGUCCUUCCACACUCAACCUUCAGAUUUCAUGAGGCUCCUUGCCCGGAAUGUCCACGUUUGAAACCUCCCAACACCGAGCCCCAUUUCAACUGUAACCAGGAGGGAAAAUGGUGCUCGAAAUAAGCAUGCUGCAAAGGAAAACCUGCUUUCUCGAAAGGGCUCUGGCCGCUCAGGUCCUGACCUCCCCGGCCAGGAUGGAACGUUCCAGAGACCCAUUAGUGCCAAAGGCAAAUUAAAACACACCCUGUAAAAAUGUC